GACGAACGCUGGCGGCGUGCUUAACACAUGCCAGUCGAACGGAAAGGCCCUGCUUGCCGGGUACUCGAGUGGCGAACGGGUGAGUAACACGUGGGUGAUCUGCCCUGCACUUCGGGAUAAGCCUGGGAAACUGGGUCUAAUACCGGAUAGGAGCCAUUUUUAGUGUGAUGGUUGGAAAGUUUUUUCGGUGUAGGAUGAGCUCGCGGCCCAUCAGCUUGUUGGUGGGGUAAUGGCCUACCAAGGCGGCGACGGGUAGCCGGCCUGAGAGGGUGGACGGCCACAUUGGGACUGAGAUACGGCCCAGACUCCUACGGGAGGCAGCAGUGGGGAAUAUUGCACAAUGGGCGCAAGCCUGAUGCAGCGACGCCGCGUGGGGGAUGACGGCCUUCGGGUUGUAAACUCCUUUCGCUAGGGACGAAGCUUUUUGUGACGGUACCUAGAUAAGAAGCACCGGCUAACUACGUG
rnacentral:rRNA from 1 species